rnacentral:rRNA from 1 species
CUUGUUGGUGGGGUAACGGCUUACCAAGGCGACGACGGGUAGCCGGCCUGAGAGGGCGACCGGCCACACUGGGACUGAGACACGGCCCAGACUCCUACGGGAGGCAGCAGUGGGGAAUAUUGCGCAAUGGGCGAAAGCCUGACGCAGCGACGCCGCGUGGGGGAUGAAGGCCUUCGGGUUGUAAACCCCUUUCAGCAGGGACGAAGCGAAAGUGACGGUACCUGCAGAAGAAGCGCCGGCUAACUACGUGCCAGCAGCCGCGGUAACACGUAGGGCGCAAGCGUUGUCCGGAAUUAUUGGGCGUAAAGAGCUCGUAGGCGGUCUGUUGCGUCCGCUGUGAAAACUCGGGGCUUAACCCCGAGCCUGCAGUGGAUACGGGCAGACUAGAGGUAGGUAGGGGAGAAUGGAAUUCCCGGUGUAGCGGUGAAAUGCGCAGAUAUCGGGAGGAACACCGGUGGCGAAGGCGGUUCUCUGGGCCUUACCUGACGCUGAGGAGCGAAAGCGUGGGGAGCGAACAGGAUUAGAUACCCUGGUAGUCCACGCCGUAAACGUUGGGCGCUAGGUGUGGGAUCCUUCCACGGAUUCCGUGCCGCAGCUAACGCAUUAAGCGCCCCGCCUGGGGAGUACGGCCGCAAGGCUAAAACUCAAAGGAAUUGACG